GACGCUAGCGACAGGCCUAACACAUGCAAGUCGAGGGGCAGCACAAGGAGCAAUCUGAGGUGGCGACCGGCGCACGGGUGAGUAACACGUAUGCAACCUGCCUGUAAGCGGGAAUAACCCGUGAAAGACGGACUAAUACCGCAUAAUACUAAAUUACUGCAUGGUAAUUUAUUUAAACAUUUAUGGCUUACAGAUGGGCAUGCGCAUGAUUAGCUAGUUGGAGAGGUAACGGCUCCCCAAGGCAACGAUCAUUAGGGGUUCUGAGAGGAAGGUCCCCCACACUGGUACUGAGACACGGACCAGACUCCUACGGGAGGCAGCAGUGAGGAAUAUUGGUCAAUGGACGAGAGUCUGAACCAGCCAAGUCGCGUGCAGGAAGAAUGUCCUAUGGAUUGUAAACUGCUUUUGCAGGGGAAUAAAGUGCAUCACGUGUGAUGUUUUGUAUGUACUCUGCGAAUAAGGAUCGGCUAACUCCGUGCCAGCAGCAGC
rnacentral:rRNA from 1 species